ensembl:rRNA 5S_rRNA 5S ribosomal RNA
GCUUACGGCCACACCUACCUCAGCACGCCCGAUCUCGUCUGAUCUCGGAAGCUAAGCAGGGUCGGGCCCGGUUAGUACUUGGAUGGGAGACCGCCUGGGAAUACCAGGUGCCGUAAGCC